ensembl:snRNA U6 U6 spliceosomal RNA
AUUCUACUUCAGCAGCAUAUAUACUAAAAUUAGAAUGAUACAGAGAUUUAGCAUGGCCCUCACACAAAGUUGACAUGAAAAUUCAUGAAGCAUUCCAGAUUUUU